rnacentral:rRNA from 1 species
UGGGGAAUAUUGGGCAAUGGGGGGAACCCUGACCCAGCAACGCCGCGUGAAGGAAGAAGGUUUUCGGAUUGUAAACUUCUGUCCUUGGUGAAGAGGAAGAGACGGUAGCCAAGGAGGAAGCCCCGGCUAACUACGUGCCAGCAGCCGCGGUAAAACGUAGGGGGCGAGCGUUGUCCGGAAUUACUGGGCGUAAAGGGCGCGUAGGCGGUGAGGUAAGUCUCGAGGUGAAAACUUUCGGCUCAACCGGAAGCGUGCCUGAGAAACUGCCUGACUUGAGUGCAGGAGAGGGGAGUGGAAUUCCCAGUGUAGCGGUGAAAUGCGUAGAUAUUGGGAGGAACACCAGUGGCGAAGGCGGCUCUCUGGCCUGUAACUGACGCUGAGGCGCGAAAGCGUGGGGAGCGAACGGG